AUUGAACGCUGGCGGCAUGCUUUACACAUGCAAGUCGAACGGGCUUGGGGGCUUGCUCCCAAGUUAGUGGCGAACGGGUGAGUAAUACAUCGGAACGUACCGUGUAGUGGGGGAUAACUUAGCGAAAGUUAGGCUAAUACCGCAUACGAUCUACGGAUGAAAGUGGGGGACCUUCGGGCCUCACGCUAUACGAGCGGCCGAUGUCUGAUUAGCUAGUUGGUGAGGUAAAGGCUCACCAAGGCGACGAUCAGUAGCGGGUCUGAGAGGAUGAUCCGCCACACUGGGACUGAGACACGGCCCAGACUCCUACGGGAGGCAGCAGUGGGGAAUUUUGGGACAAUGGGCGAAAGCCUGAUCCAGCCAUGCCGCGUGUCUGAAGAAGGCC
rnacentral:rRNA from 1 species